rnacentral:lncRNA from 1 species
UUCUGUAUCUGGGUGAGAUCCUAGGGAAGAUACUUUCUGGUUAUGAACAGGUAAGGAAUACUGAAAAGUUGUUUGGACUUGAAGAAGUUCAUAUUUGUUUGAAUGGUCCCUAGAUGUGGGGGAUGGACUAUUCAUGGCAAGGUGUGUAGCUUUGGUGUUGAGCUGCUGUAUGGUUUGAUUUAUUUUCAAACCUAUUUUAACCUGUUGCACCUGAAGUGUGGAGUUUGUGCAAAGGUCAUUAUGGUGUGCCUGAAGUUUGUUGAGGAGUUUUCUGGUUUGAAUUCCGCUGCAUACAUAAAUGAUGGGAAAACUCCUGGUGGUUUUGAGUGUGCUACACUCUGUUCUCCUCUGGUGAGGUUCAACUAACUUGUUGGAGAUGCCAACGAUACUUGAGGGUGAUCUCAAGUCCACUCAUAAAGGCGCUCAUACAUGAGUUUGUUGAAGAGAGAUCUGAAGGUAGUUAUGAGCAAUUUAUUUUUGCUUCCAAUCCUA